AUACGGAUAACCUGCGUAGCAUCUUACCAAACAGAAAACUCAAGGGAAGCAGGAGGGCAUUCUGUGAUGAUUAAGCACCCAGCUCUGACCUGGAGUGCGUUGCAACUGCUGCACAGCUUUCCUAGAACUUCUCAUUCUGAUUUAUCAGUAUUUACAGGAGUGUUGCCAUGAUGAUGGAUUUCUGCUUGAAAAAUAUUCCAUGAGGUUCCACUUUUCCCAUACAACAUUAGGGAAUGAGAGUGAUUUUUGUCAGGGACUCCUGGAAUUUGUUUACAGCAGCCUCAGCCUUCACAAGCAGCUUUCUACUGCCUGAAUCUUGGCUUUUAACUUCCAUUUCUAAUUAUGUCUAAACUGAGUUCAGCAUGCAGCCCUCUGUUUGUAGCUCAUUUUUCCAUUGGUGUAAAAAAGUUAAAUAUGAUAAAGCUGCUAACUCUGUAAAAAACAUGAUCAAAUGAAAGAGGAUAUGAGAUCACAUAAAUGCAAAUGAAUAUUGAUUACAGUUAUAAUGAUUAUAGUUAGUUUAACAAUUCAUGUUUUAAGCACAGCUACCUUGAAAGAGAGCAGUUACCUCUGUUAAGUCUCUCUUAAUACAAGAUCAAGAAAAUAUUCUUUAGGAGGUUAAAAAAAAAAAAAAAAAAGAAAGAAAGAAAGAAGGAAAGGAAGAAAAGCCAUGAUGUAAUUUAACAAAGUUUUCCAGAGGAUCCCUUCCCAAAUGGGGGAAAAAAUAAUAAUAAUAAAAAAAAAAAGUAACUGAAAUCUAAUACUUGAGACUGAAUGUGGUAUUUUGGAUCCAAGGUUAAUCUCAAUUUCUCAAUGGAAAUUAAAAAUAAACAGUACUUCUAGGACAUUCUUGAAAACAAAGAAGACCAGAAAGGAAGUGGUUCAGAAAUAUACAUUUAUAUAAAAGGAUGCAGCUACAAGUACUAUUUUGUGAUGUUGUUCUGAAUUUAUGUGAAUAAGGAAAUUGUACUGCAAAACAAAAAAUGAUAAUCAUCCACUCACUGAAGCCAGUGAACUAUUUAUUACCUCUGGGGGGAAAAAACAAAACAAACAAAACAAAACAAACAACAGCAACAACAAACCCCGUGUCUUUCCACAUACAAAAACAUGGAGAGAAAAAUCCCUAAAAAAAAUAAAAAAAUAAAAAAAAAGGUGGAAAACAUAGCUAGAUAGUUGUACAUUUGAUGGAUAUAAAAGAUUACAACUGUAGCUCAGCUGUAAAGCAAAGAUCCAAGAUAAAAGUCCAUACACAGCAGUCCUCAGUUACAAUUCAGAGCUAUUGUAAAGGCAGGUGGUAAAAUGAAUACUUGUCUGAACAUACACUGGUUUCUAUUUUCUUACUUCCGAACUGAUCUUUUAUUAUAUGAGCUAAGUCAUAAGCCAAAGGCAGGCAAGGCAGUCCAUGUGCCUCAUGAAAUAAUAAAAAACUCUAAAUAUUAUUGAUAUUAUAUUGCUACUACAGAUCACA
ensembl:lncRNA